rnacentral:piRNA from 1 species
UGUCUUCAAGAUUGUCUAUCUCUAG